rnacentral:rRNA from 1 species
GAUGAACGCUGGCGGCGUGCCUAAUACAUGCAAGUCGAGCGAACAGACGAGGCGCUUGCUCCUCUCACGUUAGCGGCGCACGGGUGAGUCACACGUGUAUCCCCUACCUAUAAGUCUGGUAUAACUACGGGAAACCGGCGCUAAUACCGGAUAAUAUCUUGAACCGUAUUGUUCAAUAGUGAAAGACGGUUUUGCUGUCACUUAUCGAUGGAUCCGCGCCGCAUUGGCUAGUUGGUAGGUUCACGGCCUACCACGGCGACGAUGCGUAGCCGACGGGAGAGAGGGGUCGGCCGCAUGGGAACGGAGACAGGGACAAGAGUCCUACGGGAGGCAGCAGUAGGGAACCUUAGGCAAUAGUCGAAAGCCUGACGGAGCAACGCGGCGUGAGUGAUGAAGGCCUUCGGAGCGGAAAACUCGGUUAUUAGGGAAGAACAAAUGUGUAAGUAACUAUGCACGUCUUGACGGUACCGAAUCAGAAAGCCACGGCUAACUACGUG